rnacentral:lncRNA from 1 species
GAAGGGAUAGUGUGUCCUAAAAAGUGUUGAACAGGUCUAAGGUCCUGAUGCUAAGACCACCCCUGUCUUCACAGAUUUCCUUUCUAGGCUUUGUAGGACAGGGUUUUCUUUCAGCUCCUUGAAUUAAUCUUGAAAAUGUGAUCAUCUCAGUACAUUUGUGGAGCUACUACUUACUCCUUUCUUUAAUUUAGUACAUAGUUUCUAAGGAAAAUAACUUUAAAAUUUAAUAGUGUAUAUAUAUUCAUUUUAUUACUUUUAGAGAGUGAGUAAAGGAAUUCUUAAAGCAUUUGGUAAUUCUACUGAAAAAUUGGAUGAAGAAGUAAAAAAUAAAGUUAAAGAUUAUGAAAAGAAAAAGGCAAUCCCAAGUUUUGUGGACCGCAUCUUCGGUGGCGAACUGACUAGUACAAUCAUGUGUGAUGACUGCAGG